rnacentral:rRNA from 1 species
UACGUAGGAUGCAAGCGUUGUUCGGAAUUACUGGGCGUAAAGAGUACGUAGGCGGUCUGGCAAGUCUGAUAUGAAAGACUGGAGCUUAACUCCAGGACUGUAUCGGAAACUGCCAAACUAGAGGACAAUAGAGGAAGUCGGAAUUCUCAGUGUAGCGGUGAAAUGCGUAGAUAUUGGGAAGAACACCAGUGGCGAAAGCGGACUUCUGGGUUGUUACUGACGCUGAGGUACGAAAGCGUGGGGAGCAAACGGG